rnacentral:rRNA from 1 species
UUUUUAUUGAGAGUUUGAUCCUGGCUCAGGACGAACGCUGGCGGCGUGCUUAACACAUGCAAGUCGAGCGAUGAAGCUUCUUCGGAAGUGGAUUAGCGGCGGACGGGUGAGUAACACGUGGGUAACCUGCCUCAUAGAGGGGAAUAGCCUUUCGAA